GCUGCCUGCUGCCCGCCGCCCCGCGACCGGGGCAGCCGCCGGCGCCGCGCCCCCUCCUCCCUGCCUCCCCGGCGGGGCGGGCGACGGGGGCAACGGGAGUGUGACGGACUGCGGCGCUCGGCGGGCCUGGGCGCAAGGACUGGGUCGCCGCCGUGCGGGGCGCCCGGGGCGGGUGGGUGUGGGCUGCGGGGCCGACGGCCGCGGGGGGGGCGCGGGGCUUUCCACGGCACGGGGCGGGUGGGGCUGCGGGCGCGGUCGGGGCUGGCGCGGCAGGCGAGAGGAAUUCCAGCGGGACGCGCCAGCGCUGCCUCCGCCUCGCCUCCCGUUACUAUAGUUUUUUCAGAACCUCUUAUCCACCCCGCAGAAGAGAAAUUUUUUUUUAACGUCCUGUUGCUUCACGGGGGACUUUCGGGGUGGGCAUCACGUGGCCCGACACGUAGCCGUGGGGCUCCAGAGCGCGUGCGCGCGUCGAGCCCGGUCGCCACGCCCCUUCCGAGGGUCGCUCCGCCCCCGUCGGGCCCCGCGAGCGCGCGGUGGGGGAGGGGAGGGCCCCGGAGCGCGCCUGCGUGGGGCGGGGGCGGCAGCCGACUAGGGGCUGGGUCUGGCCGUUUAGGGCCGGGUCUUGGCCCGUCGCCCACGGUGCGGAGGGCUGGUGGGCUUUCCUUGGCCGUCGGGCCCGCCACGGCGCGGGUCUUGGCUGCGGGGCGGAGGUGGGGCGGGAGAGCCGAGGAUAAGAGUUUGAGGCUUUUCGAGGCGCGUGCCGCGGCGUCCGCCUCUGCGGGACUCUGCGCCGGGCGCCCUCGGCCGGCGCGCCCGGCUCCCGCUUUGUCGCCGAGGGAAGCACGCGCGACGCCCCUCCCGUCGCCGCCGUGGCUUCUUUCGGUGUUCGUGAUUUGCUGAGAGGCUGGAAAGCAGCACGGCGGAGAGGAGCCUUGCACUCGCCAGGCGGGAAGCCUGCGCGGACACGCGUGCGCACCCACGGGGCGGCGGGCGGGCGUGGGGGGUCCGGGCCACGCGGGCGACGCGCCUCUAGGGAAGCGAUCUUGUUGCACCUUCCCGUUAUUCUGAAAGCAAAUCGUAGCCAGACCCGAGCGCAGCGGCUUAGCAAAUAAUAAGGGGAGCGUCAGUCGUGCUCGAAAUGCUUCCUUCGCGAUGGCGUCAGUGUUCCGUGAGGGAAUGAAGCCGCAGUAGGAAAUAAAGAGGCUGUGCGCGUAGUCUGAAAAGCAGAAGUCAACAUUUUUACAGAUGAAGAAAGAAUACGGAGGCAAGAGGUCUUUCUCUGCAGUUUGGUGGAUUUCCAACAUUUAGACUUGUUUGGAAGAAUUUCCUCAGCUGCACCAAUGAAGUCCUUGAUCUAUAGAAGUCGGCAGUCCCUAAAUCUACGUCUGCAUUUUGUUGCAAAUCCUUUAUAACAUUCCAUUAAAAUAAUGCAGAGUUAUUUAAUAUCCAGUUGGCCAUCGUGAGAGUAAUUCGCGGCUGAGAUUUUGUUAAUCAUUCUGUCUUCUGACUUAACAGUGAACGUAGGUGAUUUUUUUUGUAAAAUGUUGCUUCACAUGAAUUGUGAGAAUCACCUCUAAGUUUGAAUUGUACUGAAGGCACUAUAAGAAUUUCAAAUGAACGCUGAGUAGCCAGUAGCCUUCUGGCCUUUUCGUUUAACAAGCACAGAGUUCGUUUUUAAAAUUAAGUUACUUUGACAGAGGAAAUGUAAUAGCCUUGGUAGACAACAUUAAAAAUGUAACUGUCAGAUGUUUUAAAGUCUCCAACAGCCGUAUCUGUUUUAGAGCCAUAGAAUAUUUACUUACUGAAUUGCCUGUUUAAAGAUGAACUUUCUAAAUGCAGGGAAUAGUAACUUGCAAAAAAGCUAUGGUCUCUAAGUAAUGAAGGCUGUUUCAGUACCUAGAAAAAUCAAAAUCAAGGUUUUGAUGCUGCUAGUGUAAAAGAUGCAAUCCCCUUCUUAAUGGCCUGCUUAUUUAUUAAGCUCCUAGGCACUAUGCUGAAUGCCCUACAUGCAUAUCUCGUUUAAUCAUCAGUACAACUUGGGCUUAGGUUAGACUGUUAUCCCCAUUUUACAAAUAAGGGGAAACCCAAGAAAGAUGAAGUUAAGUAACUUGCCCAAGAAUAUAGCUAGUGAGUCCUGUGUCUGGGAUUAUAAUCCAAUUAUAUUUUAUUCUAAAGCUUUUUUUUUUUUUUUUGCUUUUUUUCCUUGCCCUAUCCUUUAAAUCAGGUUGAAUUUUAUGACAAUAUUCCACCAUUUUUGACCCAUAGAAAUGGCAGUGUCAUAAGGCUCAACCACUUAAACCAGAUUAAAGAACAAUGAUAGGCAAUUUUCAUUUCCUAUGUAUUAAAUCACUUACGGUUACAGCAUUUGAUAAUAGCUACUGUGUGUUAAUUUUCUUUUUUUUGAAACAGAAUUUCGCUCUUGUCACCCAGGCUGGAGUGCAAUGGCGCGAUCUCGGCUCACUGCAACCUCUGCCUCCCCGGUUCAAGUGAUUCUCCUGCCCCAGCCUCCCGAGCAGCUGGGAUUACAGGCAUGCGCCACCACGCCUAGCUAAUUUUGUAUUUUUAGUAGAGACGGGGGUUUCUCCAUGUUGGUCAGGCUGGUCUCGAACUCCCGACCUCAGGUGAUCCGCCCCCCUCAACCUCCCAAAGUGCUGGGAUUACAGGCGUGAGCCACGUGCCUGGCAGGUUACCUUUUCAAAUCUAUGUAGAUCACCUCAUUUCCUGACAGUCCCUCAAUGGUUUCUUAUCUCAAAAAAAAAAAAAAAAAAAAGGAAAGAAAGAAAAAAUCCGAAGAGCUUACCAAGUCCUGCAAGACGACAGGUGUGCCCCUGGUGCAUCACUGACCUUAUGUCCUUCUCCUCCCACAGCCCACUUGGCUGCACCCCCGUGGAAUCCGUCUGGAUCCUUAAAUAUUCCAAGCAUGCUUACCCUCCCCAGGACUCUGCCCUUGGUGUUUGCUCUCCUCGGAAAGCUUUUCCCCAUACAUCGGCGACCCCUGCCCCUAUUUAUCUUUAGAAGGUGUCCCUUAACACCCUAUGUAAAAUGGCGCCUUUGUGCACGCAAACACUUCCUCCCUUCUUCCAUCUGCUUACCCCAGGUUCUUUUCAUACCAUUUGUUUCCACGUAACAAUGGGUCAACUCGUUUGCCACUGGCAUCAACAUUGUAAGCUCCAUGAGAAAAAGGAGUUUCUUCUAUUAGGAAUUUCCAACACCUAGAUCAGCAUAUGGUACACGUAGGCACUUAUUAAAUAUAUGUCCAAAAGAAGUAUUAAGUACUUGUUAUGGACCAGAAGCUCUGCAAAACCCUUAUCUUCAUUGUUUAUUUUCAUCCUUACAGCCAAUAUUUGAGGUAGGCAGGAAGAGCCAUAUUUCAGAGAUGAGAGGGCUGAUGCUUAGGAGGAGUAAGUAGCUGCAGAGGGUCGGGUGCGGUGUUUGUGCCAGUAAUCCCAGCAUUUUGGGAGGCCAAGACAGGUGGAUCACUUGAGCCCGGGAUUUUGAAACCAGUCUAGGCAACAUAGUGAGACCCUAUCUCUCUAGAAAAUACAAAAAUUAACAGAGUCUGGUGUCACAUACCUGUAGACCCAGCUACUUGGGAGAUUGAGGUGGGAGGAUCAGGGAGGCAGAGGUUGCAGUGAGCUGUGAUCACACCAUUGCACUCCAGCCUGGGCAACAGAGCAAGAUCCCGUCUCAAAAAAAAAAAUGUAGAAAGACUAACUUUGUAAUAAUUACAUUAUUACAAAAAUGUUAUCUUAAUACAGUAUUGAAAAUAAAUUACAACAUGUAGUGAGUAUAUAUACAGAAUGAGCCUCCAGUUGAAGAUCCCUAUAAUAGGUUUUUUCACUGUGAAAAAUUGUCAUCUAAUAUGUUGACACUAAAAAUGGUUCCACAUUCUAACAUCAGUAAUUAACCAGGCGUGGAAACAUAUUUUCUAUUCUGUUAAAUUUGAUUGGCUCUAUUUGCUUAUUGCUAUUCUUAACAUUUAAAAUAGAAAUUUGCAGUAUUCCAAACCUUUCUUUAUCACCAUAGAGUUCUCGAAAGAACUAUAAUGUUCCUUGGAUAUAAGAUUUAGGGUUUUAUGGCUUUUUGUCCCAGUGUUCUUUUUAAAAAUCUUAGUCUUUAGAUUUUCCUAAAAGGAAUUGGGGCAUUCUUGGUAUCUUCGCAAAAUAAUUGUUUAUUGUCUUAAUAGAUUUGAGCAUCCUUUUAAAUUACGAGAUGGCGCUUUUUUUUUUUUUUUUUACUUUUUAAAAUUUUUUUUACUUUUAAAUUGUGAGAUGGCUUAUCAGGUACUAUUUAAAAGAUUGAAAAUGAAACAUUUCAAAUGUGAAUAUCUUAAAUAUUUCCAGUACCUGUUAUAUGUAAAUGCAUAUCAUUAACCCUAAGGCAUUUACAGGCUGAGCUGGGAGUUAAUAGCAUGUGCAGGUACAUUUAAAAAGUUAACUAAUAACUGCCACGUAAAGGCUAAAGACAAAAAUGCUGUGAAAAUACCGGUGAGCACCAACAUUGCCUGCCCGGAAGCCAUUGUAAGACCACACCGGGGAGGUGGAUUUGAUCUCGAGGCGGAGCAAAGAGUGUUGGGAGACAGCAAUGACAGAACUUGGGAAGUGGAAAAGUACGAGGUGUUAGGGUAGGAGUUUCCACAGAGAGUAUUUGAUGCCAGAUUUUGGUUGGCCUUGAACAUCAAACUAGAGUGUUUGUAGGGGAAGAGCCUU
rnacentral:lncRNA from 1 species